GACGAACCGUGCGAACGUUGUUCGGAAUCACUGGGCUUAAAGGGCGCGUAGGCGGUUUGCCAAGUCAGGGGUGAAAUCCUGCAGCUCAACUGUAGAAGUGCCUUUGAUACUGGCGAACUCGAGGGAGGUAGGGGUGCGUGGAACUUCUGGUGGAGCGGUGAAAUGCGUUGAUAUCAGAAGGAACGCCGGUGGCGAAAGCGACGCACUGGACCUUUUCUAACGCUGAGGCGCGAAAGCUAGGGGAGCAAACGGGG
rnacentral:rRNA from 1 species